rnacentral:lncRNA from 1 species
AGAAGAAGACAACCCUUUAAAACGGACCAAAAUGCAGCUUUUAUAUCUAAAAUUAUUCCAAAAUCGAUCAAAGUCUUAAACAUGAACCUGUAUACGUGCACUUGCAUAAGGUCGAUUUCUAUCCGACCCAGCUCAUAUUCUUGUUUGAGAUUUAGAAUUAACUAACAACAUAAUUUUAUGAUGUUGUCUGCCUUUUCUUCUGUUACUCUAAUACACAUGGUUAUUGUAUUAAUCUCAAAACCUCAAAACACUAAUUAUACCCCACGCAACGGGUUGCGGAGGGUAUAAUGUUUUUGACCCGUCCGUCAGUCCGUCCGUCAGUCCUGUUUCUUGUCAUCGCAACUCCUCUCAAGCCACACAACAGAACUUCACGAAACCUUUUCAGAUAAUAAGGACAUACUAUGUAGUUGUGCAUAUCGACGGGAAAUUGCGAUUCAAUUUUUUUUCUAGGAGUUGCGCCCCUUUGAACUUAUUUGCCUCACUAUACUA